rnacentral:rRNA from 1 species
UACGGAGGGAGCUAGCGUUGUUCGGAAUUACUGGGCGUAAAGCGCGCGUAGGCGGCCUUGCAAGUUAGAGGUGAAAGCCCGGAGCUCAACUCCGGAACUGCCUUUAAAACUGCAUAGCUUGAAUCCGGGAGAGGUGAGUGGAAUUCCGAGUGUAGAGGUGAAAUUCGUAGAUAUCAGGAGGAACACCGGUGGCGAAAGCGGCUUCCUGGCCCGACACUGACGCUCAUGUACGAAAGCGUGGGGAGCAAACAGG